UGGUUUUGGAAUGAGGGUGAUGGUGGCGUCAUAGAAUGUCUUUGGGAGUAUUCCUUCUUCUUCAACCUUUUGAAAGAGUUUAAGGAGGAUGGGCACCAGUUCCUCUUUACAUGUUUGAUGGAAUUCACUCGUGAAGCCAUCUGGUCCUGGGCUUUUAUUUGUCGGGAGUGAUUUUAUGACCUCUUCAAUUUCAUUUCUAGUGAUCAGUCUGUUCAGUUGGUCUGUUUCUGCUUGAUUCAGUUUUGGCAGGUUGUAAGAUUCUAGAAAAUUGUUCAUUUCUUCCAGAUUGUCAAACUUAUUGCCAUAUAGUUGUUCAUAGUAUUCUCUUAUGGUUUUUUGUAUUUCUGCUGUAUCCGUUGUGAUUUCUCCUUUUUCAUUUAUAAUUUUGGUUAUUUGGGUUCUUUCUCUCCUCUUUUUAGUGAGUCUGGCCAGGGGUUUGUCAAUUUUGUUCACCUUUUCAAAGAACCAGCUCUUGGUUUUAUUAAUUUUCUCUAUUGUUUUUUGAGUCUCUAUUUUAUUGAUUUCUUCUUUGAUCUUUAUAAUUUCCUUCCUUCUGCUGACUUUAGGACUUUUUUGUUCUUCUUUUUCUAAUUCGUUUAGGUGGAGGGUUAAGUUGUCAAUUUGGGAUCUUUCUUCUUUUUUGAGAAAGGCCUGUAUUGCUAUAAAUUUCCCUCUGAGCACUGCUUUCGCAGCAUCCCAUAGAUUUUGAGAGGUUGUGUCUUCAUUAUCAUUUGUUUCAAGGUAGUUUUUAAUUUCCUUCUUGAUUUCCUCAUUGACCCAUUGGUUUUUUAGUAGCAUGUUGUUUAGUCUCCAUGGAGAAGUUUUUUCUCACUUCUUUUCCUGUGGUUGAUUUCUAGUUUCAUGCCAUUGUGGUUAGAGAAGAUAUUUGAAAUAAUUUCUAUACUCUUAAAUUUGUUGAGGUUAGCUUUGUGCCUGAAUAUAUGGACAGUCCUUGAGAAUGUUCCAUGUGCACUUGAGAAGAAUGUAUAUUCUGUUUUUUUUUUUUUUUUUGGAUGUAAUGUCCUGAAAAUGUCUAAGUUUAAGUCUAAGUUUUCUAUUGUGUCCUUUAGGAUCUCUGUUGCCUUAUUGAUUUUUGUCUAGAGGAUCUGUCCAUGGAUGUGAGUGGGGUGUUAAAGUCUCCUACUAUGAUUAUAUUCCCAUCAAUUUCUCUUUUUAUGUAUGUUAGUAUUUGAUGUAUGUAUAUGGGUGCUCCUAUAUUAGGGACAUAUACAUUGAUGAUUGUAAUAUCCUCUUCUUGAAUGGAUCCUUUUACCAUUAAAUAGUGUCCUCUUUGUCUUUAUGGCCUUCAUUUUAAAAUCUAUUU
rnacentral:lncRNA from 1 species